GGUUUGGUUUGGUUGAAAGACUGAACUAGCUUGCCAGAGGGAAUUCAGAGGAAACCAGAACAUUUUCCCAAAGAGAAGAGAAAUAAACUAAUUCCUUAUGAAAGUUGCUGGAUGGACAAGUCCUGGAGGAACUGUAGUGGAUUCCUCUGCCUUUCUUCACCCCUAGGCUGGUCCUCUGCGCGUGUCUCACACAUAAGGAACUCUGGUUGAUCGCUAUCCAUCUUUUCUGUUGAGGACAUCUAAGGUUUAACAAAGGAUGUAUUUUCUUUACUCUUCAGUCUGGAUUUCUCUCAGUGUGAGAAGAUUAAACCUGAAAGACUGUAUGUUGAAGUCCAUGCUUAUAUCACUGUUAAGCUUGCAAAUGGGAAAAUGAGAGAGGCUACUUUCGGUCGCUCGUGAGCUACAUGUAUUUUGUGUGUUUAUAUACAUGAAACUGCUAAGAAGAUACCUCUGGGAUGAUUUUCUUCAAUUUUGAGUUCUGGGCAUAUGCAGAAUUAUACAUCCAUCUCUACAGAAGCAAAUCUACUGAGCACAAAGCUUAACUACAGAGUUGCAGAACAGUAGAAGAAG